rnacentral:rRNA from 1 species
GAUGAACGCUGACAGAAUGCUUAACACAUGCAAGUCAACUUGAACUUCGGUUUGGGUGGCGGACGGGUGAGUAACGCGUAAAGAACUUGCUUCACAGAUAGGGACAACAUUUGGAAACGAAUGCUAAUACCUGAUAUUAUGAUUUUAGGGCAUCCUAGGAUUAUGAAAGCUAUAUGCGCUGUGAGAGAGCUUUGCGUCCCAUUAGCUAGUUGGAGAGGUAACGGCUCACCAAGGCGAUGAUGGGUAGCCGGCCUGAGAGGGUGAUCGGCCACAAGGGGACUGAGACACGGCCCUUACUCCUACGGGAGGCAGCAGUGGGGAAUAUUGGACAAUGGACCAAGAGUCUGAUCCAGCAAUUCUGUGUGCACGAUGAAGUUUUUCGGAAUGUAAAGUGCUUUCAGUUGGGAAGAAAAAAAUGACGGUAUCAACAGAAGAAGUGACGGCUAAAUACGUG